AGCACCCGCGCCUAUCACCAUGUGCCCCACCAUAAUUGUGUGCUGCUGUGCAUGCCGUGGCGUGUGUGUGAACAGAGGCCCGGAGGGUACCUCGAUCUUUUGCAACUUCAGUCACCCCAGCUGCCACCAGGUGCCACUGGCGUGGUCUCCAUCCUGUGACCAGGGCACUGCACCAACUUUGACCUCCUGAAAAUGCUUUGCACCCAGGCCCCCUGGACCCCAAGAUCGGCCUUCAGUCCAGCCUGGACAGCCUCUCCUUGGCCUACUGCUCCCAGUGCCACCACCCCGCAGCCUGUAGUGCCAGGUCUCCCUCCAGGAUGCUGCCCCUGUUCUAUCAUCCUGCCCAGAGAAGCUGCAGAUUCACACUGUCCCACCCCCAUAACCCACCCCAUGCCCCACAUGUAAGAGGCCUUGUUUCUAAAUUGGACACAAGCAUAGAGUCUUGGAUUCUAAUAGACCAGAGUUGGAUUUUGUUGCUGAGCAGUGAAGGUCUGUCACUGGGAGAUGCUCCCAUCUGAGAUAUGAUUAUUUUGCACCACCAGGAUGUGCACCCUGGUAGAUGCCAGGCAUGGAUGGAUGGCAGGCCACUGCUCCCGCCUGUCUUCAUCUGUCACCAAGGGCUGGUAAACAUGGAUGUUAAUGUCAAAUCCUGUAUCAAAAAGGAAAAAACACCCAAGUUGUUGGAAUACAGAUACAAUCAUGGGUCUUGUUCACUAAGUGUUUGUAAGAAAAGUGUGUGAAUUUCUCUUGGUCUCUAUUUGUGGCUACUCAAAUCCUGAAUGCAUCCCAGAAGGAGGGGAGCCCUUUCUGGAAGAGAGAUGUCUCUUUCCAGAGAUGCAGUGCUAUCUCAAGUUCAGGGGAUUUCAGCAGAUCCCUUGCACUUCACCAGAGCAGGGAAACUUUCUUUUGGCUUUGUCCUCAGAAAAAGAAGAGCCCUGACAGUGGUGUGUAGCAUAGAGCAUCCUACCACCCAGCACACGCACCACUGUCCGCCUGACCACCCAGGAGCGGGGCACGUGGGCAGGGAACGGGACAAGGAGCCUUGAGGACCUCAGGAGGGUCCCCAGGGGGCCAGAUCCAGCCUGCCCAGUUGUUCCUAAUCCAUCCUGAGAGUUCAUUAGAGGGCACCUCCCAUCCGCCCCAUGCCCCUGCAGGCAACCUUCAGCUUUGCAGGUGAAUUUCUGUCAAGUUCACACAAGCAGAAAAAGGCCAGGCUUUGAACUUGACUCAGCACGGGUUUAACAGGAUGGGCAGUGAUGACCACACUGUUCCCACCUUUGCAAAGUGACUGGGCUU